GCUCUCUCAGGUUUAGCAGUGAUGCAUCUGGGUGAUAUACGUUACAUGCAUUUUUAUUUUUAUCAAAAGUCUCAAUAAUUCAUAUUAAUCUGUUGUUGCAGAUAAUAACAAUAUCAUCGUUAUCUUCUUCAUGCUUGUGCGGGCUAUCUGUCUUCAUUCUUAUCAUCUCAUGUUUGUUGGUUUCAUAUCAAGUUUAAUUAUGAAUAGAUAACUUACUUUUUGGCUUUCGAAGUAAGCAUUUAUUUGUCUAUCUUCAAGCAAAAGCAGCAUGUGUAUUGAUAGAUUUAUGCUUUGGACCAUUAUCACCAUGGAUAUAUACAAUUGCUGCAAAGGUUUCGUCUUUUCCCAUAAUAAGUCUACAUAUUAAGUCAACAACUUGUAUUUUUGUAACUGCAUCGACCCUUUUUCAGGUUGAUCUUGCAAUUGAACUUCCGGAGGACCUCUUGGUGUUAUUCAAUGUACUCCUUUCUGUUUUGGGGCCACAUAUGUCAUUUUCUUCAGAUAUUGACCUUUGCAAAUGUUCAUUUCCUAAAGUGGCUGAUCAAGAGUCUUUAUCUGUUUCUUCUGACUCUGUGAUAUGUUCUCAUGGGGCUUCUAGCACAUCCAGUAGUCCGAAUGAAGCAAAGAGAAAGAUUGAUGCAUCUAAAGCUGCCACAAGAAAAGAUGUACUCCAAGAUGCUAACCUACAGUUUGCUCCUAGAGAUCUGUCAAAAAUUGUUCUGACAAGUGUUUCCAAAUAUUUUACUGGGGACUGGAUCAGAUUGAAUUUCAGUUGUGGUGUUUCAGAGCUGAUUUGUGUUCCCGGCAUGACAUAACCCCAGAAAGCCAUGAAGCUGCAACAGAAGCCAUACUCUUGGCUGCAGAAUGUUAUGUCAACUCAUUCUUUAUAAUCGAUUUCAUAUGGAUGCAAUUCAGAGCUUAUGAAUCAGAUGAAAAUCAUUGGAUCCAAAUUCAAGAAUAAAAAUGGAUUAGUGGUGUUUUAUGAAGACCUUAAGAGAUGUAAUGUCAAUCUGGAGACAAUAGCUUAUCUUGAAAGUUAAAGAGAUAUAACUGUCCUACAAAUUCUGCUUCUGCUAAACUGGACCUCGAAUCUGGGAGAAUUUUGGCUCUUGGGAAACCUUGUACAUAUUAUUUUGAAGGUAAUCAGCAGGCUUUGGAAAUAUCACAAGCGACAUUGAAUCAGCUGAUGUGGCAACAUUGAUUAGGCAGAAUCAACCAUUGCUUUGUCACUUUGUAAUCCUCCUUCAGAGUCUCCCCUCUUUCUACUCCAUUCUGCAACUGAGUUAUCCUGUUCUGUAGAGAAUGUUAAUGACAUUAUACUGCAGUCAGCUGCAAAUCUUAGUGGACAACUUACAACUUUGUACACCCAACUGAAAGCAGGCAAAAUACAGCUUGAAAUGGAAAAGUUACAUGGGCUGCGAAGGUGUUGGGCACGUCUUGAAAGAUUAAUAAUAACAUCUUCUGGAAAUGAUGAACGGAUAUAUCCCAUUGGCAUCAAAAGUGCUGGUUUCAUCUACAGAACUUUAGUUCCACAUUUAUCGUGGAUGCAGAAAAUAUCCAGAUUUUCAAGUUGCACAUGCUCAUUUUCUAGAUUUUUAGGAUGGAUGUCAGUAUCUUGAAAUGUAAAGCAAUACUUGAAGGAACACUUGUUUAUUGCCUCUGAUCUUUCACAAAUUUCAUCGGUUUUUUAUCAGUUUUUGUGGAUGAGUUAGCACUUACCGAAAAUUUAGUAAUAGAAUUUUUAAUCUGCAUAUUCAUAUCCAUCAGGUACCAAUUUACACUCCCACAGAAUUUUUAUUCCCAAACAUAAGAAAACAGUUUGGAAAGUUUGGAGAAAUAAUUUUGGAAGCUGUUGGUAUGCAACUAAACUCUCUUUCAUGCAGUUUGCUGA